rnacentral:rRNA from 1 species
AUGCGAGUUAUUCAUCAAUUCAGCAACCUACAAACGUCCAACCUACACUGGCUGAACUCGACAAAUAUUGUCUUGCUCCCCAAGAAGGAUGGGGCAGAAGAGAUUGGGGACUUCCGCUCCUUCAGCCUCAUUCACGCUAUCGCCAAGAUCAUUGCCAAGAUGUUGUCUGUUCGUCUUGCCCCAUUCAUGAACAACUUGGUCUCCAACGCGCAAAGUGCUUUCAUAAAAAAAAAAGCAUCCAUGAUAACUUCAUGUACGUCAGAAACCUUGCACGACGACUACACCGAAACAAGACCCCAUCCUUGCUUUUCAAGUUGGACAUUCGGAAGGCCUUCGACUCGGUGCGAUGGGAAUAUAUCUUGGACCUGCUUCGUCGCUUGGGCUUUCCGGACCGCUUUCGGGAUUGGAUUGCUGCCCUUUUCUGCACCUCAUCGUCACGCGUUCUUCUCAACGGUAUUGUCGGGCCCCCGAUCCUCCAUGGUUGUGGACUUAGGCAGGGAGACCCUCUCUCUCCCUUGCUUUUCGUCAUCGCAAUCGACACGCUGCAGCAGAUCCUCGAUGUCGCGACGAACCACAACCUCCUACACAAGCUUCGAGGGAGGGGAUCGCAUGUUCGGACCUCCCUCUAUGCUGAUGACGCGGCGAUUUUCAUCUCGCUGA